AAACAGAGAGGGGGACUUUCCAUUAUUUUAAGAAAAAAAAGGAAAAAAAAGCAGAGGACAUCCAUGGCCUCCAUUUUUUUUCUCAAGCACCCACGCACUAAAUCCUUUCUCUUGGACACGAAAUUGAGCACACACUCACUCUCAUAAUAAGACCCAAAUCAUCAUCCGCACUCUGUUCAAACCCCUUCCCAAAUUCUUUGUUUGCUUGAUUUCUUCUUGAAGUAAAACAGUAAAGUCAGCUAAAUCGAACAUAUGUCGUCGUCUUCCGUCACCGGAGCUCCAGUCGUAGGUUUACUCUUUUGUGUUUUCUUAGCAAUUUGGGUCUUGUUGGCCCCCUCUUCUCAACGGAUUUCCUAUUCGGUUUGGAUUUCGAGGGUCUCGCGUUUGAUUCUACGUUUUUCAUUACAAUUUAUAUUUUGGAUAUUCUGUUCAUUCCUAACUGGUUUGGAAUUCGGAUCGGUCCGAGCAGCGGGUCUUUGACCGCGAGUUGGAUCAGCCAUUGUUGAGGUUUAUUCUUCUUCCAUGAGUUCAGGUUUCUUCUUCUUUCAUUCAUUAUUAUCAAUCAGAAUCUGAAUCUCUUGAGGCCCCAUUCUUAACUCUAUCCUUUUCUUAUGUUUUCCGUAGUUGAUGACGUGGUUUCAUGGUUUUUUGAAUGUGCGUGAAUCCUUGUAAUUGGUGUGGUUUGAUUCAUUGACUUUUAUAUUGAAAUUAAUUAAUGGUUUAGUCGAAGGGAUUGUAUUUAUUCAUCGGGGAAUGCCCGAAGUAUCAUGUACUUGAAGACGGCGCACGGUCAAGGCCCGGAACGUCGGGUGGAUUUCAGUUCAGGAGUAGUUUACGAUUAGUUUAGAAUAGAAUAGGUUUAUAUUUUCGCAUUUUUCAUUUUUCGGGACUGUAUAAUUGGACUUGACACUAAAUUUUGGAUUGUUUCAUCUUGUUUGCUUGAUUGAUUGUUUUAUUUUUUUGUGUGGUUUAUACAUUCGUAGUGCCAAAAUAGUCGAUACACUCUACCAAGCGACCGUGGUCAAACCACGGGACCUAGGGGUGCCUAACACCUUUCCCUCGGUCAACAGAAUUCCUUAGUCGGAAUCUCUGUUCACAAACCAGUUUUAAAGAGUCAAAAUCAUUUUGAAAAGGGUCUUUCAAAGGUGACUUGGCACAUCGGAUUAUUUCAAG
rnacentral:lncRNA from 1 species